GACGAACGCUGGCGGCGUGCUUAACACAUGCAAGUCGAACGGAAAGGCCCUGCUUUUGUGGGGUGCUCGAGUGGCGAACGGGUGAGUAACACGUGAGUAACCUGCCCUUGACUUUGGGAUAACUUCAGGAAACUGGGGCUAAUACCGGAUAGGAGCUCCUGCUGCAUGGUGGGGGUUGGAAAGUUUCGGCGGUUGGGGAUGGACUCGCGGCUUAUCAGCUUGUUGGUGGGGUAGUGGCUUACCAAGGCUUUGACGGGUAGCCGGCCUGAGAGGGUUACCGGCCACAUUGGGACUGAGAGACGGCCCAGACGCCUACGGGAGGCAGCAGUGGGGAAUAUUGCACAAUGGGCGGAAGCCUGAUGCAGCAACGCCGCGUGCGGGAUGACGGCCUUCGGGGUGUAAACCGCUUUCGCCUGUGACGAAGCGUGAGUGACGGUAAUGGGUAAAGAAGCACCGGCUAACUACGUG
rnacentral:rRNA from 1 species